UCCGUUGUAGCAAUACGAUGGAAAGUCUAGUGGCGAACGGGUGCUUAACACGUGGGCAACCUGCCAGGAAGUGGGGGAUAGCUCGCCGAAAGGCGAAUUAAUACCGCAUGUGAUUAGAGAGGACAUCCUUUCGAAAUUAAAGUCGGGGCAACCUGACGCUUCUUGUGGGGCCCGCGGCCUAUCAGCUAGUUGGUGAGGUAACGGCUCACCAAGGCUUUGACGGGUAGCUGGUCUGAGAGGACGACCAGCCACACUGGGACUGAGACACGGCCCAGACACCUACGGGUGGCAGCAGUCGAGAAUUUUUGACAAUGGGGGAAACCCUGAUCGAGCGACGCCGCGUGGAGGAUGAAGGUCUUCGGAUUGUAAACUCCUGUCAUUGGGGAACAAGGUGCAUACGUUAACUGCGUGUGCAUUGAUAGUACCCGAAGAGGAAGAGACGGCUAACUCUGUGCCAGCAGCCGCGGUAAUACAGAGGUCUCAAGCGUUGUUCGGAUUCAUUGGGCGUAAAGGGUGCGUAGGCGGCGCGGUAAGUCGGGUGUGAAAUCUCGGAGCUUAACUCCGAAACUGCAUUCGAUACUGCCGUGCUUGAGGACUGGAGAGGAGACUGGAAUUCUCGGUGUAGCA
rnacentral:rRNA from 1 species